rnacentral:lncRNA from 1 species
UUUAAGCAUGCUCCACCAUUAUCUGCAUGGUAAUACUUACGAUGAAAAGGCGUGUCAUUUUCAUGCUGAUAAUUCUGUGGGACAAAACAAAAAUAAAACUACUUUACAUUAUCUGUUGUGGAGGUGCGCAAAGGGUUUACACAAAACUAUUAGUUUGCAUUUUAUGAUUGCUGGGCACACAGAAUGUUUAUGUGACGCAUGUUUAAUUUUGGCAUGUUGAAAAAGAAAUUUAGAAAGUCGGACGUAAACACUGUAUCACAACUGGUUAAAAUGUUGACAAUUCUGCCAAAUGCAAUAGGUCAGAAGUUUAUAAUGAAAAUGACGAUGACGAACACAGCUUAAAGUGGUACAGAUGGGGUAAUUUCUUCACUAAUUAUUUCAAACCACCCAGAGGUAUAGGAAAAUUCCAUCACUUCCGAUUUACCAGAGUCGUAUUUGCGAGAGAAACUCUUGAUCAACCGGAGAAAAGACUGGCUUUGCUUAAGGAAAGCACAAACGUACCGGAGUUGCUCACGACACUUCCAGAAGUUAUUCAGCCAGCAGGGCUGACAGAGAAGAGAAUGCGUUAUCUGUACAAUGAAGUCCGUCCUUUUUUCCAGUAUAAUUUCCGUGACGAAUUUUGUCCUCGUGCUUCAGAGGAGUAACAUUUCACAUGUACUGGUUACAGUUGGAUUGAAAACUAGAGAAUCAUUUAUGUUUUCAUUGUAACAAUCUUAUAAAAUAAAUUAAAUAUUGUAUACAAAUGCAUGUUUUCGUGGCUCUCUCUAUAACGAGAAAAGGACCGAUAAAGAAUAAAAUUAAUGCACGAUAAUGCUAAUUUCACGACGUUGUCGUGAGAUUCUGAAGUUAAAUAUAUGUAGC